GGGUGGAUUAGUGGCGAACGGGUGAGUAACACGUGAGUAACCUGCCCCUGACUCUGGGAUAAGCGUUGGAAACGACGUCUAAUACUGGAUAUGAUCACUGGCCGCAUGGUCUGGUGGUGGAAAGAUUUUUUGGUUGGGGAUGGACUCGCGGCCUAUCAGCUUGUUGGUGAGGUAAUGGCUCACCAAGGCGACGACGGGUAGCCGGCCUGAGAGGGUGACCGGCCACACUGGGACUGAGACACGGCCCAGACUCCUACGGGAGGCAGCAGUGGGGAAUAUUGCACAAUGGGCGAAAGCCUGAUGCAGCAACGCCGCGUGAGGGAUGACGGCCUUCGGGUUGUAAACCUCUUUUAGUAGGGAAGAAGCGAAAGUGACGGUACCUGCAGAAAAAGCACCGGCUAACUACGUGCC
rnacentral:rRNA from 1 species